rnacentral:lncRNA from 1 species
CCAUUCCCGAUUUCUCCUCCGAGCCCGAACCCCUAUUCACUCACAGUCAGUCGAAAGUAAAAUUCGAAUCGUCGAAUCCCAUUAAUUUUUUUCCCGUCGAACCAUCAACCUCUUUCCCGUUGAUUUGCUUUGCUGAACUUCAUCCUCGUAAGAUCUUUAAUUUCAGAAGCUCUUCUUUUUCAUUUAAACCUAAUAAUGCUCCGGGAUGAAGUUGGGUUAAUCGGGAUGACACAGUGUAGCGACGCCGGAGCGUGCCGAAAACAAAUGACACAGUGUAGCGACGCCGGAAUAUUCCUCGUAAGAUCUUUAAUUUCAGGCAGAAAACAAAAAGAAGCUCUUUUUUUUAUUUAAACCUAAUAAUGCUUUACACACGAGCAGGAACAACUGGAAAAAUCACAAGGAGUCGAGUCCUCUCUUGGACAAUAGCAUCGUAAAGCAUAACAAGAAACCCACAAUGAUUUCCGGCACCAAAGUUGCCGCAUCUUCUCCUAUGGAAAACAUAAAUCUGCAGUGCUGAAAUUGGGCCACCCUGAAUAUGAGUGGACUGCUAAUGGGUUACCAACUUACCAUUGAAUCACAGUAGCGUUGUAGGUGAGACCAUGGGUCGGGUUCAGUAGGACUCCAGCCUCUUCGCUUGUCUCGGCGGCAAUGAUGAAUUCUGUAGGUUCAGUGGGACUCCAGCCUCUUAUUCUUCUUCUUCUUCUUUUUUUUCUUUUUUUUUUUAAUUAAGGUUAUUUCGAGCUUUCAUGAAAUUGAUUGUUUAUUUCGGUUUGAACCGAACCGAACCGAACCGAACCGAUUUUUAUAGGUUAGGUUCGGUUCGGUUAUGCUUUUAUAAUCGGUUUUUUCGGUUUUAAAA